rnacentral:rRNA from 1 species
UACGUAGAGUGCGAGCGUUAAUCGGAUUUACUGGGCGUAAAGCGUGCGCAGGCGGCCCGUUAAGACAGGUGUGAAAUCCCUGGGCUCAACCUAGGAAUUGCGCUUGUGACUGGCGGGCUCGAGUACGGUAGAGGGGGGUGGAAUUCCUGGUGUAGCAGUGAAAUGCGUAGAGAUCAGGAGGAACACCGAUGGCGAAGGCAGCCCCCUGGGCCUGUACUGACGCUCAUGCACGAAAGCGUGGGGAGCAAACAGG